rnacentral:rRNA from 1 species
CAGUCGCCGCGGGAAUACGGAGGAUCCGAGCGUUAUCCGGAAUUAUUGGGUUUAAAGGGUGCGUAGGCGGAUAGAUAAGUCAGUGGUGAAAGACGGUGGCUCAACCAUCGCAGUGCCGUUGAUACUGUUUAUCUUGAAUAUGGACGAGGUAGGCGGAAUGUGGCAAGUAGCGGUGAAAUGCAUAGAUAUGCCACAGAACACCGAUUGCGAAGGCAGCUUACCAAGGCAAAAUUGACGCUGAGGCACGAAAGCGUGGGGAUCGAACAGGAUUAGAUACCCGUGUAGUCCCUGUCUCUUAUAC